rnacentral:lncRNA from 1 species
AUGAUAAUAACUUACGUUGAUCAAAACGUGUUAUUAAACGGGCAUUAACUUGUUAAUUCGCCUAAGUAUUUACGAGUCCAAAUAACUAUUCCUAUGUGUGUAAAUAUAUUUAUAUAUGUGUAAAUAUAUUUAUAUAUCACACACACCCAUAUAUACGUACAUACAAAUAUUACUUCCAUAUUUUUUAGAGAAAAAUUAGAUCUCUACCACCACACACUUACACUUAGAUUAUUAUAGUCUAAGGACCAUCCCUUGUACUUUAACAUUUGAUGCCCUACUAACUCAAUCCCCAUGACUGUUUGUGUGAAUAUGACAAGACAAAUGAAUGGCACCAUGACAUGAUGCGUAAAACACUCUCCAAUAUUAUGAAUUCAAACACUCAACACACAUGCUUUCUGACAUAGUAUUGUUUACUCUAAACUUUUCUGGCCAAACUCACUCUAGACCUCAGGUUUGUGAAUAUAUUAUAAAAAAAAAAAGAAAAGAAAAGAGAAACCAUGCCUAAAAUACUUUGUACACUACAAUAACACUCAUAAGAACACUUCAACUCUCCAUCUCACUCAUCUCUCCUGGCCAAAACACACCAACACGUUCAUCUUUUUCAAUCUCUACACACAGACAUAACACAGCCAAACACCCCCCCCCCCAUCUUCUUCUCGAUCUGUUUGGUCAGGAUGACCGGAGCCGGAACCUCACCGGCCUCCCUCUUGCUUCUCAGACGACAACAACACCCACCACCUUCUGGUGGUGGCGAGUAGCGGGCGACAACAAGAUCGGAAGAGCCGACGAGAGAGAGAGAGAGAGAUUGAGGGAGAGAAGAUAGAGAGAGUUAGUGUCGGCGGCUGACCAGCGACGUAACUCCGACGGCGGCGGCGGGUGUCUCUCGACGGCAGUAGACGCCGGCGACGGUGAGAACGGCGGUGGUGAUGAAUCGCAGCUCGAGUUCUGGUACGAUGUUCGGGUUUCGCGGCACGUUCAAGUUCAGGUCAGAUUUCGAGUUGGGGAUUCAACGCGGUUCAGGUUCGGGCCUUCUCGGGAAAGAUUCAUGCUCAACAUCUGAUUUCGGUUCAACAUCAGGCUCGGGCAUCUGUUCGGAUGACGUUCGGUCAGAUCUGUUCAGGUCGGGUCGGGUUUAGCGGCACGGCCCGACUAGGGUCAACUUAAGGGCGCUUCGGGUUGGUUUGGUUU